rnacentral:rRNA from 1 species
UACGGAGGAUCCGAGCGUUAUCCGGAUUUAUUGGGUUUAAAGGGUGCACAGGCGGAAGAUUAAGUCGGUGGUGAAAUUUUGCAGCUCAACUGUAAAAGUGCCUUCGAUACUGGCUUUCUUGAGUGUGGAUGAAGUAGGCGGAAUUUGUGGUGUAGCGGUGAAAUGCUUAGAUAUCACGAGGAACUCCGAUUGCGCAGGCAGCUUACUAAACCACUACUGACGCUCAUGCACGAAGGCGUGGGGAUCAAACAGGAUUAGAUA